ensembl:lncRNA
GGGCGUAAAAACUAGUUUGUGAAGGACCCAGAGAAACACAAAUAUCCUACGAGGCAAAAUCCCGGACGAUUUUGCAAUCACUGCCGGACGCAUGUCCGGGUAAAAGAGGACGUCUGGUCACCCCACCAAAGGAGAUAUUUUAGUAAUCCUGUCGCUGCUAAGCGUCCUUAUCUGGUAAGUAAACAGUGUUUUUUAGGUGUUUGUUGCGACAAAAUUGCGGGAGCAAGUGAAAUUGCGAUAAGAAGUGGCGAAUUUCCCUCUUUGUAAUUAUUACUGAGUAAUCACGUUUUGGCUGUCAAGUAGCAAGUUCAGUUGCACGACUGUUGGCCCUGGCGGCUAGGAAGCUAAAGAGCUAGUUAGUGUGUUAUUUCCCCCCAAAUAUGUUCAUGUGCAAAGUAAACAACAAUCAAUUGUUUAUGUUGAAAACAACUCAUGUUCUACAGAAACACCAUAUAAUUUAUAUCAGCAUGCUAAUGUUAUAUGUAACUUUUUAGCAGCUAGCUAGCUUCUAUGUGUUUUAAUGGAUCUGAUGGAUAAAAGUGUUAGCAGCAAGCUAACAAUAAUGGUCGAGAACUUCAGUUAAGACCUACAAUAUUCUUUUUGCCCUGACAGCAUUCGUGUUGCAUAUAAACAACAAACCGAUUUGAUGUAGACAUAUAAAAAGAGGAGUCAACCAAAGGAGAUAUUUUUGUGUACAGGCAGAAGGCAUCACGGACUGGCAAGACAGCAGAGGUGCUACAGGUGAUCCUCGAGGCUUAUGACCUUCAGGAGGAAGAGGAGCCAGAUUUUGAUGAUGCUCCUGUUGCUCUCCUUACAUCGGGUCCCGACCCCUUCAGCUGCGAGAACAUCUUUGAAUUGGGUGCAGAGGAUUUCUGAGGCAUUUAUGUUGUUGUUUGGCCUGACAUAUGCUUUCAAUUUAGAAGAAUAUCCCAAAAAACUCACGCACACCUUCUUAUACAGAACCUUUUUAUGUGUCUGGAUGACAACAAUACCUCUGAAACCGUCCUUACUCACCUUAAAAAAUUAUUUGUUGAAAUAAACGAUUUGUUGUUGACUUGUUAACUUUGUAACGCUGUUCUUUAAAGCUUUGAUGUAAUCUUUUAUUUUGUCAGUUUUACAAGAAAUAUAAAUGAUGUGAUGCCUCUUAAGUUUUUCUCAUCUCACUCUUUUUAAUAGAAAUCUUACAUAGAUUUGAAUGUUUCUUGUAGAGUAACUUUCAGUUUAAAGUCAGUUUGUAAACAGAACCAGA